UGGCGGACGGGUGAGUAACGCGUGGGGAACCUGCCCUGUACAGGGGGAUAACACUUAGAAAUAGGUGCUAAUACCGCAUAAGCGCACAGUAUCGCAUGAUACAGUGUGAAAAACUCCGGUGGUACAGGAUGGACCCGCGUCUGGUUAGCUGGUUGGCGGGGUAACGGCCCACCAAGGCGACGAUCAGUAGCCGGCCUGAGAGGGCGGACGGCCACAUUGGGACUGAGACACGGCCCAGACUCCUACGGAAGGCAGCAG
rnacentral:rRNA from 1 species